rnacentral:rRNA from 1 species
UACGUAGGGUGCGAGCGUUAAUCGGAAUUACUGGGCGUAAAGCGUGCGCAGGCGGUGAUGUAAGACAGGUGUGAAAUCCCCGGGCUUAACCUGGGAACUGCAUUUGUGACUGCAUCGCUGGAGUGCGGCAGAGGGGGAUGGAAUUCCGCGUGUAGCAGUGAAAUGCGUAGAUAUGCGGAGGAACACCGAUGGCGAAGGCAAUCCCCUGGGCCUGCACUGACGCUCGUGCACGAAAGCGUGGGGAGCAAACAGG